GCUGUAGUUCGUAAAUAGACAAUUAAACAAGAAGUGUAAAAACGAAAAAACCAUACGGAAAUAGAUAUAAAUUUUCUAUUAUUUAAUAAUCUUUAUUAUUUUCAGUAAUUUCACAGAAAGCUAGAUGCAGUUCAAAAAAUUUAUUAACACAUGGUGAGGGAAGAAUGGUAAAUGGGCUGUCUCAUAAUUUAUUGCGACAAGAUGAGCUGAGGCCA
rnacentral:lncRNA from 1 species